GACGAACCGUGCGAACGUUGUUCGGAUUCACUGGGCUUAAAGGGCGCGUAGGCGGGCGACCAAGUCAGGGGUGAAAUCUUUCGGCUUAACCGGAAAACAGCUUCUGAUACUGGUCGUCUGGAGGGAGGUAGGGGUCUGUGGAACUUCUGGUGGAGCGGUGAAAUGCGUAGAUAUCAGAAGGAACGCCAGUGGCGAAAGCGACGGACUCGACCUCAUCUGACGCUGAGGCGCGAAAGCUAGGGGAGCAAACGGG
rnacentral:rRNA from 1 species